rnacentral:rRNA from 1 species
ACUCCUACGGGAGGCAGCAGUAAGGAAUAUUGCGCAAUGGACGAAAGUCUGACGCAGCGACGCCGCGUGGGGGAUGAAGGUCUUCGGAUUGUAAACCCCUUUCGGGAGGGAAGACGGAGUGGGUAACCACUUGGACGGUACCUCCAGAAGCAGCCACGGCUAACUUCGUGCCAGCAGCCGCGGUAAUACGAAGGUGCAAGCGUUGAUCGGAUUCACUGGGCGUACAGGGAGUGUAGGCGGUUGGGUAAGCCCUCCGUGAAAUCUCCGGGCCUAACCCGGAAAGUGCAGAGGGGACUAACUNAGCUAGAGGAUGGGAGAGGAGCGCGGAAUUCCCG